UGGGGAAUAUUGGACAAUGGGCGCAAGCCUGAUCCAGCCAUGCCGCGUGAGUGAUGAAGGCCCUAGGGUUGUGAAGCUCUUUCGCCAGGGACGAUAAUGACGGUACCUGGAUAAGAAGCCCCGGCUAACUUCGUGCCAGCAGCCGCGGUAAUACGAAGGGGGCUAGCGUUGUUCGGAAUCACUGGGCGUAAAGCGCACGUAGGCGGAUCUUUAAGUCAGGGGUGAAAUCCCGAGGCUCAACCUCGGAACUGCCUUUGAUACUGGAGGUCUCGAGUCCGGGAGAGGUGAGUGGAACUGCGAGUGUAGAGGUGAAAUUCGUAGAUAUUCGCAAGAACACCAGUGGCGAAGGCGGCUCACUGGCCCGGUACUGACGCUGAGGUGCGAAAGCGUGGGGAGCGAACAGGAUUAGAUACCCUGGUAGUCCACGCCGUAAAACUAUGGAUGCUAGCCGUUGGGCAGCUUGCUGUUCAGUGGCGCAGCUAACGCUUUAAGCAUCCCGCCUGGGGGAGUACGGUCGCAAGAUUAAAAACUUAAAUGAAUUGACGGGGUCAUAGCUGUUUCCU
rnacentral:rRNA from 1 species